GCUGGGAAUAGUGGUUUGUGACUAUAAUCCCAUCUACCUGGGAGGUUGAGGCUGGCAGAUGUCUUGAGUUCAGGAGUUCCAAGCUGUAGUGGCCUAAGCUGAUCAGGUAUCUACACUAAGUUUGGCAUUUAUAUAGUUAGCCCUCAGGAUUUGGGCCCACCAUGUCUUCCAAGAAGUGGCAAAUUGGCCCAGAUUGGAAGCAGCAAAGGAAAGCUCCCAGGCUGAUCAGCAAUGGCUCUGGACCUAUGAGUAGCCUUUGUGCUUCCAGCCUGGGCUAGAUAGAGAGAUCCAGUCUCUA
ensembl:misc_RNA Metazoa_SRP Metazoan signal recognition particle RNA